rnacentral:rRNA from 1 species
GACGUAGGGCGCGAGCGUUGUCCGGAUUUAUUGGGCGUAAAGAGCUCGUAGGCGGCUUGUUGCGUCGACCGUGAAAACCCGGGGCUCAACUUCGGGCUUGCGGUCGAUACGGGCGGGCUAGAGUUCGGUAGGGGAGACUGGAAUUCCUGGUGUAGCGGUGAAAUGCGCAGAUAUCAGGAGGAACACCGGUGGCGAAGGCGGGUCUCUGGGCCGACACUGACGCUCAUGCACGAAAGCGUGGGGAGCAAACAGG